rnacentral:snRNA from 1 species
AAAUUCACGAUGGACGGGGUCAAUGGUGAUCAUGAAGGCCUAUGGCCUAGAGCAGUGAUCUUCAUUGCACUUUGAAGGGGUGUUGUUCUAAGAUCUGUCCAAGUGAGAGAGCCUACAUUAUAAUUUGUUUAAGAGGGAACCUCUCUUUGUGCAACCUCCAU